rnacentral:rRNA from 1 species
GACGAACGCUGGCGGCGUGCUUAACACAUGCAAGUCGAACGGAAGCGCCCUGCUUGCAGGGUAUUCGAGUGGCGAACGGGUGAGUAACACGUGGGUACUCUGCCCUCCACUUUGGGAUAGGCCUGGGAGACUGGGUCUAUUCCCGGAUAGGAGCCAUUUUUAGUGUGUUGGUUGGAAGGUUUUUUCGGUGUAGCAUGAGUUCGGGGCCUAAUAUCUUGUUGGCGGGGUAAUGGCUUACCAAGGCGGCGACGGGGAGCCGGCCUGCGAGGGUGGGCGGCCGCACUGGGACCGAGAGGGAGCCAGGACUGCGACGGGGGGCAGCAGGGGGGAAGAUUGCACAAUGGGAGCACGCGUGAGGCAGGGAGGCCGCGUGGGGGAAGACGGCCUUCGGGGUGAAAACUACGUUCGAGAGGAACGAAGCGUUGUGUGAAGGGACCUAGAUAAGAAAGAACGGCUAAAUACGUG